UAGAAGAUAGUAUAGUGGAAGUACAGGGAUUUUUGGGGUUCCAAGUGUGGGUUCAAAUCCCAUUUUUCUAA
rnacentral:tRNA from 1 species